UGAGCAAAUUAGGUGAUCGCGGGUGCCGAUAAGGGACCUGAGGAAAGUCCGAGCUCCAUAGGGCAGGGUGCUGGGUAACACCCAGUGGGGGCGACCCCAAGGAUAGUGCCACAGAAAUGCAAACCGCCCGGCACUUAACCUAAUAUUUGAUAGGUUACCGGUUCCCGGCACAAUAAUCUUGUCAUCAUUGCCUAUCAAAUACCAGGUUGAGUGCGGGGUAAGGGUGGAACGGUGCGGUAAGAGCGCACCAGCGGCCGGGUGACCGGUCGGCUAGGUAAACCCCACCUGGAGCAAGACCAAAUAGGGGAAUUUUUGCAGUAGCCCGCUGUUUUUCCCGGGUUAGGUCGCUUGAGGCACCUGGUAACAGGUGUCCCAGAUAGAUGAUCAUCCACGACAGAACUCGGCUUAUCGAUUUGCUCGCUAC
rnacentral:RNase_P_RNA from 1 species